UAUGUGUGCUGGAGGGACGGUUAUGAGUGGAGAAAGGAGUGAACUACGACCAGGGAAGAACUCAAGAAGAGAAUAAACAUACCGAUUACUUGCAUGGCCGGUUCCACGUCUGUUGUGGCCUCUUCCAGCAAGGACAGUAGCUUGGCUGAUAUUUGAUGCACAGAUUCAAUGUUGCUAAACAAGCCCUCCACGUCCAGCCUGUCAAUCUGAAGAAGCAGAGACACUGAGCUGAGCGACAGCUGACGGGAAGAGAACUACUAUGUGCUCGGUGCUUCUUCCUGCUCAACAGCAAGGAUUUAACCUGCCUCACCCUGCUCUGUGAAGAUGCUCACCUAGGGUUUCUGAAUGUAAACAUAUAGCUUAAACGUGUACAUUUUCAUCAUGCAAAUAGUGAUGGUGUGUUAUAGCUCUGUAUUAAACAACAACAAAAACGUU